GCGAGUUACGAUUUGAUGCAAGGUUAAGCAGUAAAUGUGGAGCCGUAGCGAAAGCGAGUCUGAAUAGGGCGUUUAGUAUUUGGUCGUAGACCCGAAACCAGGUGAUCUACCCUUGGUCAGGUUGAAGUUCAGGUAACACUGAAUGGAGGACCGAACCGACUUACGUUGAAAAGUGAGCGGAUGAACUGAGGGUAGCGGAGAAAUUCCAAUCGAACCUGGAGAUAGCUGGUUCUCUCCGAAAUAGCUUUAGGGCUAGCCUCAAGUGAUGAUUAUUGGAGGUAGAGCACUGUUUGGACGAGGGGCCCCUCUCGGGUUACCGAAUUCAGACAAACUCCGAAUGCCAAUUAAUUUAACUUGGGAGUCAGAACAUGGGUGAUAAGGUCCGUGUUCGAAAGGGAAACAGCCCAGACCACCAGCUAAGGUCCCAAAAUAUAUGUUAAGUGGAAAAGGAUGUGGCGUUGCCCAGACAACUAGGAUGUUGGCUUAGAAGCAGCCAUCAUUUAAAGAGUGCGUAAUAGCUCACUAGUCGAGUGACACUGCGCCGA
rnacentral:rRNA from 1 species